rnacentral:lncRNA from 1 species
GGAGUCCGCGCUGUCCCCGCGCCGGUCUUCCCUAGGCGCCGCCUGGGGAUGAGCUGCAAAUCACUGCAGGACUUGCAUAACUUUCCCUGAGCGCCCCAGUGGAACCUGCGGGGGCCGCCGCGCCCCAGCCCACCUGUGCGGGACUCCAGCCCUCUUCCCUCUCCCGCCAGCUCCUGCUGGAUCCCGCCUGAUCCCCACCCGCUCCAUCCCCAUCAACCAACAGGGUGCCAACAGCCCGCUCCUGCGCCUCUUUUCCUGCUCUGUCUCCGGAAUCCGCCCUUCUCCUGGCUGAUUCUUCACAGCGGCCCAGGCCCCGCCCCCGACCCUGGGAGCAGGUGGAGAGAACCCACCAGGAAGGAGGAGAAUGUGAGCGCAUCCUCUGGCACCCAGAUGCUGCACUGGAGGAUCUCCAGGGCCAUCCUUGGGGACAGGCAGCAACUCAAGAAUGUGAAUCUCAGGGGAGACAUAAUUGAAUGAAGAUCUGAUUGUGUUGCCAACUGCUGUGUGCUCAGUCUC